UUCAAAUGUUCAUAGAUGGCUUGGGGCUUGCAGGGACAGAUCUUCCAGUGUCACCAGGAGCCUCUGGGAUAGGCGGGAAACGCUUCCUACAGGGGGUGGGGCGGGGGGCGCAUUUGAGCUCCAUGUGGGGAAGGCCCAGGGCAACUCUAAGCUGAGUGCAGAGUCCCAGGUCCCGAAAAUAGUGAGGCUUCCAGGUCACGAGGUUACACCAGCAUCCAUGACGUCAGCAGGCCAGCGGCGGGCCCUUAGCCAUGGAGGUUCAGAUCGUGUGGGUUGUGGGUCCCACGGUCCCAGAGUCAGCCGGGCGCCCAUUGGCUUGGCCUCAGGAUGCCCAGGGACAUGCCUGGUGCAGCUGGGGCAGCAGGAGCUCACUCUACCAUGAAAUAUUCAUGGCUGCUGGCAAAGCCCGGCCCUAAAAUAUAGUUUGCAGAAGAAAAAGAGCCAUCAGGCAUUUAAUCAUUGUGUUAAUGAGGCUCUAUUUGGAAGCAAACUCCAUCUGACUGCGUCCUAGACAGCAAGAGUCAGGGCCCGGCCAACCUGUGUUGCCGGCCGCAGGGGCAGCCUCAUCCCUGAGACACCAGUGGGAGACACGCCCGGGCAAGGCACAGGCUUGGCUCGAGGCCAUGGCCAGCGGCCCUCCACUUCAGGGGAGCCCAUGAGAUUAUAACGGCAUCCUGAGGUUUGCCAAAAAGCAUCCUUUUAAGCAGAAAGCAAGCAACGGCCCUGCAUGGAGGCGCCACAGAUCCAGUCUGGCUGAGCAGGGGCUAGACCAACUCGUUUUCCCUAAGCAGCUUCCUCGGGGGAACCACUACCCCUCCUGCCUCCAGCUCCCCCUGCUGCCCAGGCCGCCGCCACAGACACUGCAAAUUACCAUCCAGACAAGAUUGCCGGGCCCUUUACAAAGCCUGAAGCAGCUCCUGCAGCCGCCGUCAGCGUCAGCAGCCGCCCUUCUUCGCCAGGUGUGCUGAUUGCAAGUCUCUCUGUGCGGCAGGAGGGGACGUCUCCAAAGGGCAGGCGUCCAGUGGCAGCACCGCAGGCCUGUGGGUGUUCCACCUGCAGAGGCCCCAGAGCAGCCCACGGAGGGCCACGGUGGUAUUAUUCCCAUUUCACAGGGAAGAAGCAAGGUCAGAGCUCUUCCCAGAUGGCUCACGCCAGGCCCAUGCUGCCCGCCCUUACCCGCUCCUCCCGUCCGGCGCUUGAGAGACGUGGUGUCUGGAAAGUCUGUCCCAUCCCAGCUUCCACAACACCCACUGAGACCCACGCCAACGCGCCCCGCCCACGAGAACCCAGGUCACUCCCGCUUGGUGACUGCGGAAGAACUUUCCGGGUGUCACGUUGGUCCAGUCCCAGGUCAAUUUAAUCAAAUCUGGAAAUCUGGGCCGGCACCUGGUUCGGGACUCAUCCCCUGUUGCUAGGAAACCCAACUCCUGCGGAUCCCACCCUGCUCCAUCCGGAGACAGUGGGAGAGACCCUCCUGCAGCUGAGGCCAGGGCUGGGGAAUGGCUGGAGAUGGAUGGGGACAGCAGUGGCCUUUGCACUGGCUGACUUCACAGCAGAACUCCCACGAGUGCCGAGAAACAGCGUGUAGGGGCGCUGCUCUCCCUACAAGCCCUUCCAGGCGCUGCAGGUCACUUAGAAGCUUGUGGCGCAUCCCUCGGUACCUCUCUCUGCCUGCGCACCAUAAACACCCAGACUACAGGGCCAUACCUGUCUCUUCUUGGUCUCCCCAGCAUCCUGCAGAUUAGUGGCCCUUCAGACACUUUGCACCCCAGUAGGGGGUGGGGAGGCUGGUGGAAAGUGAGCCCUGUGGCUCCUGGAGAAGCGGCGAGCAGCAGGCAGUGUUACACAAGGGUCCUCCCAACCCAGCUGACCUCACCAGGUCAUUCAUGCAAGAAUGCGGGGCCAAUGGGUUUCUGCCAGGCGUGCCAGGGCUGAGGGCACCCCUGGGUCCUCACAGCCCCCACUGUCCAGGGACAGCAGAGUCCUCCUUCCCUUUGCCAUUUCCAUGUUUCUCAUUUCAAUAAUUCUUGCAGCCCAUGUUGUGUAAAUAAAAUUAUUCUUCCCAAAAAAAUCGUUAGCAGAGCCCGACAUUAAUUCCCCUGCAAUCUGUGUAAUUAACUGCAUGUAAUAUAGGGCAUUAAAGGACCGGUUUGCUAAUCACCACUCCUCCGCUCCACGCACCUAAUUAAAUCUCCUUCCUGUUUAUCCACUUACAGGAUCCUCUGCAAAGAUACCAGGCACCAGGAACACUGUUGUAAUAAAUCUUUGCGUAAUUUUAGAGGGUGCAGUCCCACUCUGUUUCAUUCCCACUGCUGAGCCCCUCCUCCCUGCAGCCACGUCUCCCCAUGACUCGGC
rnacentral:lncRNA from 1 species